CGGUGGAGCAUGUGGUUUAAUUCGAUGCAACGCGAAGAACCUUACCUGGUCUUGACAUCCACAGAACUUUCCAGAGAUGGAUUGGUGCCUUCGGGAACUGUGAGACAGGUGCUGCAUGGCUGUCGUCAGCUCGUGUUGUGAAAUGUUGGGUUAAGUCCCGCAACGAGCGCAACCCUUAUCCUUUGUUGCCAGCGGUUAGGCCGGGAACUCAAAGGAGACUGCCAGUGAUAAACUGGAGGAAGGUGGGGAUGACGUCAAGUCAUCAUGGCCCUUACGACCAGGGCUACACACGUGCUACAAUGGCAUAUACAAAGAGCAGCGACCUCGCGAGAGCAAGCGGACCUCAUAAAGUACGUCGUAGUCCGGAUUGGAGUCUGCAACUC
rnacentral:rRNA from 1 species